GCAUUGGUGGUUCAGUGGUAGAAUUCUCACCUGCCACGCGGUAGUCCAGGGUCUGAUUCCCAGCCAAUGCA
rfam:Danio rerio chromosome 4, GRCz11 reference primary assembly.